rnacentral:rRNA from 1 species
ACGAACGCUGGCGGCGUGCCUAAUACAUGCAAGUCGAACGCACUCUCGUUUAGGUUGAAGGAGUUUGCUCCUGAUUGAUAAACAUUUGAGUGAGUGGCGGACGGGUGAGUAACACGUGGGUAACCUGCCCUAAAGUGGGGGAUAACAUUUGGAAACAGAUGCUAAUACCGCAUAAAACCUAACACCGCAUGGUGUAGGGUUGAAAGAUGGUUUCGGCUAUCACUUUAGGAUGGACCCGCGGUGCAUUAGUUAGUUGGUGAGGUAAAGGCUCACCAAGACCGUGAUGCAUAGCCGACCUGAGAGGGUAAUCGGCCACACUGGGACUGAGACACGGCCCAGACUCCUACGGGAGGCAGCAGUAGGGAAUCUUCCACAAUGGACGAAAGUCUGAUGGAGCAACGCCGCGUGAGUGAAGAAGGUUUUCGGAUCGUAAAACUCUGUUGUUGGAGAAGAAUGUAUCUGAUAGUAACUGAUCAGGUAGUGACGGUAUCCAACCAGAAAGCCACGGCUAACUACGUG